CUACCGGUCCAUUCAAUGAGCUAACACUUGCAUAACACCUCGUAAGAUGCAUAAUUAAAAGAAUUCAGGUUAAAGAAAGAUUUGAGUCCUGGACUAAUAUUUGCCAAAUGGGAGAAUAGGCGAAAAAUCAACAAACUAUAAAGCAAGGGCCUUGAUAACAACGGUGUUACCAAUGCUUUGAGUGGUCAGUGUUAAGGAUGGGGCAUUAUCAAUGAAAUAUAUUCUCAUGUAGGUAAAGACGUAGGCCUAAUUUCUUUAUGUUGUGUCAUUAAUCCGUGGUGCUGGAAGAUCAUAGGGGAAUCCCUUUCAGCACCAAACUACUUAAAACAAUUUGCUUAUAAUUGAGUAUUGAGCAUAUUUUUUUCUGUCCCGACAUUGUUUCUCUUCUUCUCUUCAUCUCCUCAUCUUCUCUCCCCAUCUCUCUGCCUCAUCUCUCCAGCUAUAUUUAGCAGCUAGUCUAAGGCCUUGGCGCCAGACCGUUUAAGACCUGUCAAAGUCCCUCAUAUUUCCCCCUGUCACAUGUACACCCAGUGCCUCCUCCUCCUCCUCCUCCACCACCUCCGCCUCGACCACCUCCUCCCCCUCCUCUUCCUCCUCUAUCACCUCCCCCUCUUCCUCCUCCUCCUCUACAUCCUCCUCCUCUUCCUCCUCUACCACCUCCUCCUCCUCCUCUUCCUACUCCUCCUCCAUCACCUCCUCCACCUUAUCCUCGCUAUUUUAUUCUUGCAGUUCUCUGCUAGUCUUUCUGUCCCCCCCUACACACAUGCACACACUCACACACACACACACACACACACACACACACACACACACACACACACACACACACACACACACACACACACACACACACACACACACACACACACACACACACACACACACACACACACACACACACACACACACACACACACACACACACGCAUGCACACACAGAUACCCACACACUCUUCUCAUUAAAUCCAGGACUCAAAUGGUUCUUUCUUUAACCUGAAUUAUUUUACUUCUGCUUCUUACAAGCACUUAUUAGCUCAGUGGCAGUGACUUGGCCGGUCCAAUGGGGACCAAUUGAAGUCAUAGAGAUAACGUUUGGCAUAAAACGCACACACGGUGAAUGCACACACUCACACACACACACACACACACACACACACACACACACACACACACACACACACACACACACACACACACACACACACACACACACACACACACACACACACACACACACACACACACACAGAGACCCACACACACUCUCUCUCUUCCUCUCCCUGCCGCCUCAGGCCCUUGUUUAAUUGCAUUAAGGAGAAUAGGUGUGAGCAGUGGUGGUUCUGAUGGGCUCUGCGGCUCGUCAACACCCAGUCACCACUAUAAAGGUGACCCAGCCUCACGGCGGAGUGGGCCCUGAGUCCCAGAGGCAGACCAGGUGUUGUGCAUGUGGAGGUGUGAGCCAGGGUGCACUGGGCAGGAGCAGACCGGAGGAGGGAAAACACUCAGUGGCAAACGGUGAGAACCAGGGGAUACCCGUCGGCAGUGCCGUGAACCAUGCAGCCACCGAUCCGGGACGUGCAUCUCGACCCUCCGUUGAGCCGCCAAAGGAAAGAUCCUUAUCCGGAUCGGUACCGGACCCCAACUCCAGAGGGUCGAGCCGGGCCCCGUCCCACCCUAACACUGAGAAAUCUGCUUUCUGAAAAAAGGAACAGACAGGAGGAAGAACGAGGACCUGGCUCGCAUCAACCCACGCUGAGCCUCCAGAAGGGUCUUCCUGGUAACUCACUUCCUGGUUUUCACUUUGCUCCACACCACCCUUUUGCAACCAAUCACAAAAACAUUGUCUGAUUGGCCUGUAGUUAUGUAACGGAGGGGUCAUUUUGCCACUCUAAAUUAUGUUUCAUUUCAUCGGCCUAUGCUAGUGUCGUUUACUUCAAGAUAUGUCAUUAAGUCCAAUAAUAAUUCAAAUGUUAAAACUAUAAUUAUAAAUGUAAUUUCCGUUGAUAUUUUUGACUUAAUAUAAAGCUUAAGCAUUUCAUUUUAAUUACUUCUCUAUUCCUUUAUGUUAAAAAAUAGUGUAUAAUAUUACAAAAGAUGUAUGGGAAUGAAAUAAAUGUUGCUUAACAAAAUA
ensembl:lncRNA